rnacentral:tRNA from 1 species
GCACCUGUGGCGGAGUGGUACCGCGUCAGACUAUUGAACGAGAGGUCGCUGGUUCAAUCCCAGCCGAGGGACG